rnacentral:tRNA from 2 species
GCGCGCCUUAGCUCAGUUGGAUAGAGCACGUGCCUUCUAAGCAUGUGGUCACAGGUUCGAAUCCUGUAGGGCGUGCCA